AUUGAACGCUGGCGGCAGGCCUAACACAUGCAAGUCGAGCGGAUGAAGGGAGCUUGCUCCUGGAUUCAGCGGCGGACGGGUGAGUAAUGCCUAGGAAUCUGCCUGGUAGUGGGGGAUAACGUCCGGAAACGGGCGCUAAUACCGCAUCCGUCCUGAGGGAGAAAGUGAGGGAUCUUCGGACCUCACGCUAUCAGAUGAGCCUAGGUCGGAUUAGCUAGUUGGUGGGGUAAAGGCCUACCAAGGCGACGAUCCGUAACUGGUCUGAGAGGAUGAUCAGUCACACUGGAACUGAGACACGGUCCAGACUCCUACGGGAGGCAGCAGUGGGGAAUAUUGGACAAUGGGCGAAAGCCUGAUCCAGCCAUGCCGCGUGUGUGAAGAAGGUCUUCGGAUUGUAAAGCACUUUAAGUUGGGAGGAAGGGCAGUAAGUUAAUACCUUGCUGUUUUGACGUUACCAACAGAAUAAGCACCGGCUAACUUCGUG
rnacentral:rRNA from 1 species